ensembl:lncRNA
CAACCUCAUUUUCCUAGAACUGUGCAUAUGAAGCACAUGGAAGUAAGGCUGUAAUGAUGGAAGUCCAGUUGGAGAGGAAGCAAACGUCUCUGCUCUCUUUUUAAGUGUCCUCCCUGACUACGUUCUGCCAUAAUGAAAGAGAAAUCAGGAUGCUGAGCUCUAGCACCCAUGGCUUCUCAGUCACCCUUUAUCAUACGCAACCUGUUACAGUUAUGUUUGAUUUUUCAGUACCCAAGAACUAAAUUCUAAUAUAAAUAUGUUAGACUGAGUGUCUUCCAGACUUAGCCUAUGGGAAGAAAAUGAGUUCUACAUUAGAGGAGUUGUUACAGAUUAUAAAUUGUAAAUAAUGAUUAGAUCAUAUUAAUUUUGUAUUCAUGAGCUUUCAGGUUAUUUUAUAGCAUUUUUCUCUCUGUACAUUCUAUAGCCUCUGUAUGUAACAGCAACAAACUUUGAUAUGGUGAAUGACAUAAUCAGCAAGUUACUACCAAUGAUAAGAAAGCAUAACAUUGAAGAUUACCAACUGUGGUUCUGUACUGGUCCUGGGAAAGCUCCAAGAGUACUCCAAGGCAUGAGUAUCCGCAUGACUUUAGAAUGAUAAAUAUUCAAAAGAACUUCAGU